ensembl:lncRNA
GUCCACUCUGUUCCUGCUCCCGGUGGGGCUGCAGCCAGCACCCUUCAUGGCAGCCAGGCCCAGUCAGCUGAUAUGGAUCCCAAGAGGGCCCAAGGCCCCAGGGGCUCUGGGCAAGUUCCUUGGCUACAGGAAGAGGCCUCCUCUGCACUUGUCCAGCCACCCGAGUGAUUGACUCCACUUCACAGGAAAGGAGACCCUGAGAGAGAAUGGAACUGGGUCAAGGUCUCCCAGAGUCGGUGCUGAAGCUGGGUAGGAACCUACAUUCCUGAUUCCUAGACCAGAAAUGAGAGAGAGGGGGGCGCUCAUUCGUUCAUCCAUUCACACCUUCAAGGAUUGAGCACCUGGGACAGCAGCAGGAAGAAGGUAGACCUGGUUCCCGCCCUCGGGAGCUCACAGUCUCCGAACGGGUCAGACACGCAGCCCGACCAGGGAAGGCCAUUAGAGUGGGGUGGACGUGGACGGCAGAGAAGAGAGUUAAAGCAGCUCAAGAUAACGGGCCGGAGAGAGUGGGGAGUUCAGGGAGCUGCUGGUAAGAUUAAGGCAGGGAAAGUAGGGAGCACGGAAGAGGUGGGAUCCUGAGUACCCUGCUUUCCUUCCCAGGGUAAUGAGGAGAGGCAUCCCCUACCCCCACUUUCAAGCAAGGGAGGUGCGUCCUCGUCCUGGGGUUUCGAGCAGGUCUCUCCGAGCAGGUCCCUUCCUGGCCAGCCGGGCUGGGGCGGGGCGGAACAGGGGUAGGGUGGCGCGGCUGGGCGCAAAGGUCCAGCAGCGGGCCACGCAGGCGCCGGGCUGACCUGGCAAAACUUUGGCGUCUCUGAAAACCUCUGCUCACCCGCUCCCUUCUAGCGUGAGGGAGCCGGGCGGCCUCCUUCAGGCCCGGCAGUGGGACCGUCGCCGCCCGCCCCUCCCAUUGCAGCACCGGUACAGACGCGCUGACCCCGCGGCCGUGUCGCUGGGCGGCGUCCCGGAGCGGGUGGCGAGGUAUCUAACCGGGCGGGUUGAGGGCGGUGCCAGGGUUGGUCAAAGGUCCGCCCCGCCCCCUGCCUGGCCCGGCUUCGGGGUGGGGAACAGCGCAGGGAGGUGGGUAGCUGGGCUCCCAGGCACGUGGGUCUCUGCGGCGGCGGCUGGACGCAGGCACUGGCACCCGGGAGCCGCGGCGACUGCACGCCGGGCGGAGAAGCGCAGCGCAGGGGCGAGAGGAGCCCCUUGCGGCAACAGCACUGCCUGCCCAGAAAAAUGCUGGAGGCUAGGUGUGGCCCCAGGCCUGGGGACCUGUUUUUCCUGUUUCCUGCAGAGUUCCCUGCAGCCCAGUCCAGGUGUGUGCAUUCAUGAAUGAGGAACCCGAGCAGGCACUGAGCAUCCUGACCUGGAGAGCGGGGGCUGGUCAGGUACGUGUGGCGGGGGGGCGGGUGCGCUGGCUGGGAGGUGAGAGCCGGUGCGUGUGCUGUUGUGCCUGUGUCUGCCCUGAACUGGCUUAGAUCAAGGGGAUCCAAAGGCAGGUGCCCUGCUCUGCUCCCUCAUCCCAGGCUGUGAUGAAUUCAGGCUUUGAAGUCAGAUAGCUUUGGGUGUCAAGUCUAAUUUUUCCAAUGCCUGGCAGUGUAACCUUGUACAAAUAGCUUAACCUCUAUGGCAAUAUCUACCAAGGGGUGGGGAUGGGGGAUGACGAUGCUGUGUGAAAGCUGCUCAGCCCAGGUCUGGCCCCUACAAAGCAGGGUGGGUGGAGAAUCCUAAUCAGACUGACCCAGGUUCUGAGCCAGAUAAAAACCUGUGGCAGGUCUCAGACAGCCAACCCAUCUCCAGUGCGCCCAUGUCCAAUCCCCUCCCGCUGGCACUUCCCUGACCUGUCCAGAGAAAGGCAGAGUCUCCUGGGCUCCUGUGGCAGUUGAAGGAGAGACAGUCUAGGGACAUAAGCAGGUUCCAGGUGGGCCAGGACCCCUAGAGGGGCUGGGUUGUCCCCUGGUUACUUAGGGUCAGCAGCUAAGAAACCUUUAAGCAUUCUUGUCCUUGAGAGGCCCUCAGAGAAGCAAGUAAUUUGUAAGUAAUUUGAUCAAGGUUACAGCACUGGAGAUGGGCUGCAAAUCCUAUUCAGGUACAUCCCACAGUGGAAGUGGCUGAAGGAGGGAGGUAGUGACCUCCCUGUUUAUGGGAGUGUGCAGAAGCUGCAGAGGGCUUGUGCCUGUGUGUGCCUCCUCUGGGCCCCCAUAGCCUCUUGUGCUUGAUUCAUUCAUUCAUUCAUUCAUUCAUUCAUUCUCUCGUUCCUGUAAUCCUCCUGUGGUCGGGCCUCCUGCUGGAUGAUAGGGGCAGAGAAAAGCAUCAGAUGGACCCAGCCUUCAAAGAGCACCUGAAAUGUGUCGGGGUACAGGAUGGAAGGACAAAUUACCAACUGGCUGAGAAACAUCCUAAGGGGUGAUGGAAGGGAGAGCUUCAGAGAUUAGAAGAUCCUUUGGGACGUACGAAGGAGUGCAGUGUGGGUGGGUUCAGGGAAGGCU